rnacentral:ncRNA from 13 species
UCGAUAGCUCAGUUGGUAGAGCAAGGGAUUGAAAAUCCCUGUGUCCCUGGUUCGAUUCCAGGUCG